UACGGAGGGUGCGAGCGUUGUCCGGAUUUAUUGGGUUUAAAGGGUGCGUAGGCGGCUUUUUAAGUCCGGGGUGAAAGCCCGUUGCUCAACAACGGAACUGCCCUGGAUACUGGGGGGCUUGAGUCCAGACGAGGGUGGCGGAAUGGACGGAGUAGCGGUGAAAUGCAUAGAUACCGUCCAGAACCCCGAUUGCGUAGGCAGCUGACUAGGCUGGUACUGACACUGAGGCACGAAAGCGUGGGGAGCGAACAGG
rnacentral:rRNA from 1 species